UGGCGGACGGGUGAGUAACACGUAGGAAUCUGCCCUGUAGUGGGGGAUAGCCCGGGGAAACUCGGAUUAAUACCGCAUACGCUCUACGGAGGAAAGCGGGGGAUCUUCGGACCUCGCGCUAUAGGAUGAGCCUACAUCAGAUUAGCUUGUUGGUAGGGUAACGGCCUACCAAGGCAACGAUCUGUAGCUGGUCUGAGAGGAUGAUCAGCCACACUGGGACUGAGACACGGCCCAGACUCCUACGGGAGGCAGCAGUGGGGAAUAUUGGACAAUGGGCGCAAGCCUGAUCCAGCAAUGCCGCGUGUGUGAAGAAGGCCUGCGGGUUGUAAAGCACUUUUAUGAGGAAAGAAAAGCUUAGGGUUAAUACCCCUGAGUAUUGACGGUACCUCAGGAAUAAGCACCGGCUAACUCCGUGCCGGCAGCCGCGGUAAU
rnacentral:rRNA from 1 species